AUUGAACGCUGGCGGCAGGCCUAACACAUGCAAGUCGAACGGUAACAGGAAGCAGCUUGCUGCUUUGCUGACGAGUGGCGGACGGGUGAGUAAUGUCUGGGAAACUGCCUGAUGGAGGGGGAUAACUACUGGAAACGGUAGCUAAUACCGCAUAAUGUCGCAAGACCAAAGAGGGGGACCUUCGGGCCUCUUGCCAUCGGAUGUGCCCAGAUGGGAUUAGCUAGUAGGUGGGGUAAAGGCUCACCUAGGCGACGAUCCCUAGCUGGUCUGAGAGGAUGACCAGCCACACUGGAACUGAGACACGGUCCAGACUCCUACGGGAGGCAGCAGUGGGGAAUAUUGCACAAUGGGCGCAAGCCUGAUGCAGCCAUGCCGCGUGUAUGAAGAAGGUCUUCGGGUUGUAAAGUACUUUCAGCGGGGAGGAAGGGAGUAAAGUUAAUACCUGUGCUCAUUGACGUUACCCGAAGAAGAAGCACCGGCUAACUCCGUG
rnacentral:rRNA from 1 species